UACGUAGGGGGCUAGCGUUGUCCGGAAUCAUUGGGCGUAAAGCGCGUGUAGGCGGUCCGGUAAGUCCGCUGUGAAAGUCAAGGGCUCAACCCUUGGAUGCCGGUGGAUACUGCAGGGCUAGAGUCCGGAAGAGGCGAGUGGAAUUCCUGGUGUAGCGGUGAAAUGCGCAGAUAUCUGGAGGAAUACCGGUGGCGAAGGCGGCAUCCUGGACCGACAUUGACGCUGAGGAGCGAAAGCUAGGGGAGCAAACGGG
rnacentral:rRNA from 1 species